rnacentral:rRNA from 1 species
AACGAACGCUGGCGGCAGGCCUAACACAUGCAAGUCGAACGCCCCGCAAGGGGAUUGGCAGGCGGGUGAGUAACACGUGGGAACCUUCCCUCUAGUACGGAAUAGCCCAGGGAAACUUGGAGUAAUACCGUAUACGCCCGAAAGGGGAAAGAAUUUCGCUAUAGGAUGGGCCCGCGUAGGAUUAGCUAGUUGGUGAGGUAAUGGCUCACCAAGGCGACGAUCCUUAGCUGGUUUGAGAGAACGACCCGCCACACUGGGACUGAGACACGGCCCAGAAUCCGACGGGAGGCAGCAGUGGGGAAUAUUGGACAAGGGGCGCAAGCCUGAUCCAGCCAUGCCGCGUGAGUGGUGAAGGCCUUAGGGUUGUAAAGCUCUUUUGGCGGGGACGAUAAUGACGGUACCCGCAGAAUAAGUCCCGGCUAACUUCGUG